AUCGGGCACAGAGCGAGAUGUUCUUCGAACUCCGGUUAGCCUCGGAACUGGAGCCUCGAGGAUGGACCGAGGAUAGCAAGACCACUUUCUGGACUAACAUUGGAGGGACGAGCAAAUGGAGUAUCAGUACUGUUCUACUAAGAAUAUCACAUAACCAAAUAUCAACUGUGUAUUAACCGAAACAGUCUAGUUAUACAUAUAUCUGCACCUUAUUCGCAUUAACCAACAUUUAAUCUAUCCGUAGCUCAGUAAUCUAAAUGUAAUCACUGUUUAAACUUAGCCAGUUAAAUGUUGCUGUUGUUUGGGAUCGUAUUGUCAUGGAGCUGAAAGAUUUGAGCAGCUUCUUCUCUUACUCGUCUAUCCGUUAACUACUACUACUCGUAUAUUUGUAUGCAACUUCUACGCUAAUCACAUACGAAAGACUAUAAUGUAUUACUAUCCAUAUGCUUGAAUGCACGAUACAAGAAGCACAUAUGAUUAUAAUGUUCGAUUAUGGGGAUUGCCCGAAUCAUCGGUAAUUAUCCAUCCAAAUGUUAAAUAAAUUGUACUCGUACUUUAACCAAAAGUUGGACAGAAAUCAAGAUG
ensembl:ncRNA lncRNA:CR44832 long non-coding RNA:CR44832